rnacentral:rRNA from 1 species
UACGUAGGUGGCGAGCGUUUGUCCGGAUUUACUGGGCGUAAAGAGCGCGCAGGCGGUCGUUCAAGUCGCGUGUGAAAUCCCCGGGCUCAACCUGGGAACUGCAUCCGAAACUGCCUUGCUAGAGUAUGGGAGAGGGAAGUGGAAUUUCCGGUGUAGUGGUGAAAUGCGUAGAUAUCGGAAGGAACAUCAGUGGCGAAGGCGAACUUCCUGGACCAAUACUGACGCUCAGGUGCGAAAGCGUGGGGAGCAAACAGG